GGGCGCUUACCAUGCAGUCGUACCAGGGUCACCUUCGGUGGGGAUUAGUGGCGAACGGGUGAGUAACACGUGGGCAAUCUGCCCUGCACUCUGGGACAAGCCCUGGAAACGGGGUCUAAUACCGGAUACAACCACUGACCGCAUGGUCGGGUGGUGGAAAGCUCCGGCGGUGCAGGAUGAGCCCGCGGCCUAUCAGCUUGUUGGUGAGGUAAUGGCUCACCAAGGCGACGACGGGUAGCCGGCCUGAGAGGGCGACCGGCCACACUGGGACUGAGACACGGCCCAGACUCCUACGGGAGGCAGCAGUGGGGAAUAUUGCACAAUGGGCGAAAGCCUGAUGCAGCGACGCCGCGUGAGGGAUGACGGCCUUCGGGUUGUAAACCUCUUUCAGCAGGGAAGAAGCGAAAGUGACGGUACCUGCAGAAGAAGCGCCGGCUAACUACGUGCCAGCAGCCGCGGUAAUACGUAGGGCGCAAGCGUUGUCCGGAAUUAUUGGGCGUAAAGAGCUCGUAGGCGGCUUGUCGCGUCGGUUGUGAAAGCCCGGGGCUUAACCCCGGGUCUGCAGUCGAUACGGGCAGGCUAGAGUUCGGUAGGGGAGAUCGGAAUUCCUGGUGUAGCGGUGAAAUGCGCAGAUAUCAGGAGGAACACCGGUGGCGAAGGCGGAUCUCUGGGCCGAUACUGACGCUGAGGAGCGAAAGCGUGGGGAGCGAACAGGAUUAGAUACCCUGGUAGUCCACGCCGUAAACGGUGGGCACUAGGUGUGGGCGACAUUCCACG
rnacentral:rRNA from 1 species